GACGAACGCUGGCGGCGUGCUUAACACAUGCAAGUCGAACGGAAAGGCCCUGCUUUUGUGGGGUGCUCGAGUGGCGAACGGGUGAGUAACACGUGAGUAACCUGCCCUUGACUUUGGGAUAACUUCAGGAAACUGGGGCUAAUACCGGAUAGGAGCUCCUGCUGCAUGGUGGGGGUUGGAGAGUUUCGGCGGUUGGGGAUGGACUCGCGGCUUAUCAGCUUGUUGGUGGGGUAGUGGCUUACCAGGGCUUUGACGGGUAGCCGGCCUGAGAGGGUGACCGGCCACAUUGGGACUGAGAUACGGCCCAGACUCCUACGGGAGGCAGCAGUGGGGAAUAUUGCACAAUGGGCGGAAGCCUGAUGCAGCAACGCCGCGUGCGGGAUGACGGCCUUCGGGUUGUAAACCGCUUUCGCCUGUGACGAAGCGUGAGUGACGGUAAUGGGUAAAGAAGCACCGGCUAACUACGUG
rnacentral:rRNA from 1 species